UCGCUCCUACCGAUUGAAUGCUCCGGUGAAGACUCAGGAGACAUGGCUCUGAGCGGUUUACCACUUUUUGCCGUGUUCAAUUUGUCUAAACCAAGGCAUUUAGAGGAAGGAG
rnacentral:rRNA from 1 species